rnacentral:rRNA from 1 species
UAGGGAUCUGCCUGUUAGAGGGGGAUAAGCCGAGGAAACUUGGGCUAAUACCGGAUAAGCCCUUACGGGGAAAGAUUUAUCGCCAAAAGAUCGGCCCGCGUCUGAUUAGCUAGUUGGUGGGGUAAUGGCCCACCAAGGCUACGAUCAGUAGCUGGUCUGAGAGGAUGAUCAGCCACAUUGGGACUGAGACACGGCCCAGACUCCUACGGGAGGCAG